GGAGGCCCACACUACUUUCGGUAACAGAUGUGGCAUGUUUAGAAACAAAUAUCUCUUUAUUGGCGCCCUGUACGGCAAUUUCGAUAGCAUUUUCUAAAUCAGCGUAAAAAGUUUACCUAGCAUAGUUAUUUUCACAUUUCUCCGGCAACGCAAACUAACGUUAUCGCAGUUUAAAAAUCGAUGAAAAGUGUCCGCGCGCCCAUGGUUUACGCGCUGCCCGCCCGUGACCCAGUUUUCCGCGCUGCGUCCUGCACUUCCGGGUUCAACCCGCGCACCAGGCUAAAAUGUAACUAUUUCUUUGAUUCGUCGGCGCCUCGCGGUAAAUUCAAAUAGAGCCAAUCAAAGGUUUCCUUAUAAAGCCAACAGUCCUGGCUACGUCAUAUCCCGCCCGCUCUGAACAGCUGCGGAAGUCUCUUUUCAAAAGCGAAGUUGACGAGAAUACAUCGACGUAUUUUCGCUGUAUUUUUGACAUCUCUUAAUUUUCGGAAAAGCGGGUUUUACAGUCGAUAGGUAACAUAUGAAGGGACAUACUGACGGAGUUUUAUGAAUUUCCGUGCAAAAUUGUUUGCGUGCCGCCGUCCGAAAGACCGUGGAAAACUCUACGGUGACCCAAUUCACAGCUCCCGGCCGACCCUCCCCCUCACGGACGGUAAUUCAACGCGGACAUUUUCGGUAUAUAUUGCUGGAAUCUACCCAAAGGACUACAGCUAAGCUGACCUUUUAGAGCUGCAAUAUUCCAGUGUCAAGUUCCAAGAUAAAGGAGAAGUCAUUCAUGCAAGAAACAUUGAAUCGUGACUCAAACAAAACAACUUCAUGACAGACACAGCAUCUUGCUCUGUUGGCUACAUGAGUUUGGAGGAUUGGACACAAUUUGCUGCACCGCAAAUGUUUUGGUUCAAAAUGCAAAUUGGUGGUCGCACUGAGUACUGUACAGCAAAUUAGUGAAGAACUACAAUACACGACGAAACAGCAUGGUAAGGUGAAAGCAUGAUAAUCCAGCCACCUGGCUGGUACGACAAGAGAAAUUUGUCAAAGUUUGUGCUAUGUAUACUGCCAGGAAAGGACAGAGGAAUGAAAACACUGUGGAGAACCUUUGAAAGAAGGACAACUAAGAGAAAUCUACAAAGAAGAGGAAUCAUGAAAGAAAGAAGAAAAGACAAGCAUGUGAUAGUGACGAAAGAAGGACAAGAAAAGACAGCUUGUUUAGACAUUAUAAAAAAGCGAACUCGUCACAAACCAUCGCAAAGUACCAGACAUGACAGGCCUGGAACUGGAAUUUCAGCUUUGGGCUGAACUACCCCGAUUGGGGAUGAACAUCAUUGACUCUGGCAGAAUUUAUUGUCUCAGCAAACAAAAUGUAGAAAACAAAAAAACAUGAUGAUGUUGAGGACUACUUACCUCUUGCUUCUGUAGCAUAUAAUGAAGAGGACAUUUUUCUCACGGCCCUUAGGAGAAACGAUGCUGACGCUGACAUUCCACUGUCAGCUUUUCAUUUUAUUUAUUGCAUAUAGGGUUAUAAAAUGCAUAGUUGAUUAUGCUGUACUUGAUAGAUAUGGAGUUUUGUACUGUUUCUCUACUAUUCUGAUCCCAGCCACACUUUAAAUUGUGAAUGUAAGAGCUGAGAUGUUGUUUUCCUUUGUCAAGGGGGAGGGGGGCACCAUGUACAAUAUGCAUAUGUAAUGACUUAUUAAGGAAUGAAACGCAUAGUUAAUUAUGCUGUACUUGUUCAACUUGUGACUUUGUACUGAUCUCCACCAUUCUGAUUCCAGCCACCCUUCAAACUGUGAGUGUAAUUUAUAUAAGGGCCGAGAUGUUGUUUUCCUUUGUCAAGGGGGAGGGGGGCACCAUGUACAAUAUGCAUAUGUAAUGACUUAUUAAGGUAAUGAAACGCAUAGUUAAUUAUGCUAUACUUGUUCAACUUGUGACUUUGUACUGAUCUCCACCAUUCUGAUUCCAGCCACCCUUCAAACUGUGAGUGUAAUUUAUAUAAGGGCUGAGAUGUUGUUUUCCUAUGCCAAGGGGGAGGGGGGCACCAUGUGCAAUAUGCAUAUGUAAUGAUUUAUGAAGGUCAUGAAAUGCAUACAGUUGAAGAUAGGAAUAAAUAGAGUUGACAGCUUA